GGAGGUGUAGCUCAGCAGUAGAAUGUUUGCCUGUAGUGCAAAAGGCCCUGGGUUCAACCCCUAUGCCUCAA
rnacentral:tRNA from 1 species